UCCAGACUCCUACGGGAGGCAGCAGUGAGGAAUAUUGGUCAAUGGUCGGGAGACUGAACCAGCCAAGCCGCGUGAGGGAUGAAGGUACAGAGUAUCGUAAACCUCUUUUGUCAGGGAACAAAGGCGGGGACGUGUCCCCGGAUGAGUGUACCUGAAGAAAAAGCAUCGGCUAACUCCGUGCCAGCAGCCGCGGUAAUACGGAGGAUGCGAGCGUUAUCCGGAUUUAUUGGGUUUAAAGGGUGCGCAGGCGGUUGUUUAAGCCAGCGGUAAAACCCGGGGGCCCACCCCCGGCCUGCCGUUGAAACUGGCGGCCUCGAGUGGGCGAGAAGUAUGCGGAAUGCGUGGUGUAGCGGUGAAAUGCAUAGAUAUCGCGCAGAACUCCGAUUGCGAAGGCAGCAUGCCGGCUCCACACUGACGCUGAGGCACGAAAGCGUGGGUAUCGAACAGGAUUAGAUACCCCCGUA
rnacentral:rRNA from 1 species